CAGCAGCCGCGGUAAUACGUAGGGGGCGAGCGUUGUCCGGAUUUACUGGGCGUAAAGGGUGAGUAGGCGGUUAUAUAUGUCAGAUGUAAAAGGCUAUGGCUUAACCAUAGUUGGCAUUUGAAACUGUAUGACUUGAGUGCAGGAGAGGUAAGUGGAAUUCCUAGUGUAGCGGUGAAAUGCGUAGAUAUUAGGAGGAACACCAGUGGCGAAGGCGACUUACUGGACUGUAACUGACGCUGAGUCACGAAAGCGUGGGUAGCAAACAGGAUUAGAUACCCUGGUAGUCCACGCCGUAAACGAUGAGUGCUAGGUGUUGGGUAGCGAUACUCAGUGCCGMAGUAAACACAAUAAGCACUCCGCCUGGGGAGUACGKUCGCAAGACUGAAACUCAAAGGARUUGAC
rnacentral:rRNA from 1 species